CCUACGGGAGGCUGCAGUCGCGAAUUUUUCUCAAUGGGCGCAAGCCUGAAGAAGCCAUGCCGCGUGCGGGACGAAGGCCCUCUGGGUUGUAAACCGCUGUCAGGGAAGGGGAAACGCUGGGUGUUAACAGCAUCCAGUUUGACUGCUUUCCAAAGGAAGCCCCGGCAAAACAUGUGCCAGCAGCCGCGGUAAUACAUGUGGGGCGAGCGUUGUUCGGAAUCACUGGGCAUAAAGGGUGCGUAGGCGGUAUGAUACGUCCUGGGUGAAAUCCUGCGGCCCAACCGUGGGUCUGCCUGGGAUACGGUCAAACUGGAGUGCGUGAGGGGUGACUGGAACGCGUGGUGUAGCGGUGAAAUGCGUAGAUAUCACGCGGAAGGCCAACGGCGAAGGCAGGUCACUGGCACGCAACUGACGCUGAGUGCACGAAAGCGUGGGGAGCAAACAGGAUUAGAUACCCUAGUAGUC
rnacentral:rRNA from 1 species